GCCCUGGUGGUCUAGCGGUAUGAUUCUUCCUUAGGGCUUUAACAAGACUUCCGAGUCUUCUCAGCCGGAUUGGAAGAGGUCCCAGGUUCGAAUCCUGGCCAGGGCC
rnacentral:tRNA from 1 species